GCCCCUGCCAAGGGGUGCUGGCCACGCAGGAGGCUUAACCUGGCCGGCGCGGGAAUGGGGUGCAGAGAGCAAAGAAAUGUGGCUUUGAUCUUAUGGAUGCCUUACUUUUACAUUAUUUGUACAGUUCUUGCAGUGAGCUUUCCGGACCACUGUCUUGUAUGUUUCCUAAGAAAAGCAAAAAGGGAAGAGAUUGAAGAGAAAGUAGAUUUUCAACUACAAACUUUCAUCCAUUUGCUUUCAGCUUAAGCAAAUGUGCGCAAAGUUGUCAUGGAUUUUUGCAGUCAAUAAAAACCAAGCAAGAAGACUGAAUCCCAAGUCAUCUGGGGCAGAUAAGAAAAGAAACAAUUUGCUGAAACUCCCUCUGCUUAUAACAAAACUGACUGAAAUCAGCCGGAAUCAAUAUGGCCAAAUGCAGUUUGCGCACAGCAAGCUUGCUGAUGUCACAGCCUGAAUUUCUACUGCAUGUUUCAUACCAACUCCCUCCAAAUUUGCACAUGGGACCCACCAGGAAGCAUGAAGAGAGAGCCAUGCAUGCCUGAAGACUUCCCAGAUGUUCCCUUUGCUUCCACCAAUCACCUGCUAACCCCAGGAUCCAACCCUAAACCUUUUGUAAUAAAAUUACUGCCCUAAAGCCAGUACAAGACAGAUUUGAACUGGACUUUUGUUUCCUCAGAAGUUAACUUGCAAUGUGAAGCUUUCCUUUUCUCAAAAACUUGGUGUCAUAGUGUUGGCUUCUAGUGCAGUGAGCCCCUUUUGCUGGAUAACCUUACCUGGUAAUUUGACAUACUAGGUGGUUAGUAACUACUGACUGUCUCCAGGUUACAACACAGUUAUUACCCACUUGGGUGAAAAGAGAAGACAGGAAAUACAUUUUGGAGUUGGCUGGCAACCUGUUUACAAAGCAAUUUACAACAGUUCCUUAUUCUUAAGGGGCUAUUCUAAUACAAGACCUCAGAGAAACAGUGCAGUGUGACAAAGGAGGAAUUUAUCAAAGGAGACAGAAAAAGCAUCAAGGCAAGCUGUGAAAUGGUGCGGUAGGAACCAAAUAGAGAGCCAAAGGAUCUUUCUGUCACUGCAGGCCCUUAGGGAGACGGGGUCUCACUGUAUCAGCUCAGCUGGAGUACAGUGGUGAGAUCAGAGCUCACCGCAGCCUCCGGGCUCCUGGUCUCAAGCAAUCCGGACCUCAGCCUCCCAAGUAGUGGGGACUACAGAGAAUGUACAACUCCUCUGCCACAACGUGAGGGAGAGAAGUCUGCAGACGGCUGACUGGUGACGACUGAACAAGACGGAAAGGCAAGUCGCUAUGCCCGAAGCCUUUGAAGGGAGCCAGCAGGGUCCAUGGGAGGUUCAGGACACAUAUCUGCAGCCCUGCUUCUGGCCCCACCCUUGGGGAAGCCUUUUGCAGGUGAUCCUGGGCCUCUGCUGGGGAAGGCCCCAAGAGGUGAAGCAUCCUCUGCAGAGGAGAGAGCACAUCCGGAAGUAGAAGACAGACCACUGUCUGGGCUCCGUUUAACUGCUGUGAUUUGGGAUUGUAACUUACUCCCGUAAAGCCUCAGUUUCCCACAUGGAAAAUCAAAUCGAUCAUUGUUAUAACAUUUCACUUUUUUGUUAUGUGAUGUAAUUUACACAGUGCUUUCGUAUACGUUAUCCAAUUUAGCGAAAUAAUACAGAGCAAUGCAUUUUGAAA
ensembl:lncRNA TEX26-AS1 TEX26 antisense RNA 1